GAUAUGUGAAUACAUAGCAUAUCAGAAGGCACACCCGGAGAACUGAAACAUCUUAGUACCCGGAGGAAGAGAAAGAAAAUUCGAUUCCCUUAGUAGCGGCGAGCGAAACGGGAAGAGCCCAAACCAACAAGCUUGCUUGUUGGGGUUGUAGGACACUCUAUACGGAGUUACAAAGGACGACAUUAGACGAAUCAUCUGGAAAGAUGAAUCAAAGAAGGUAAUAAUCCUGUAGUCGAAAAUGUUGUCUCUCUUGAGUGGAUCCUGAGUACGACGGAGCACGUGAAAUUCCGUCGGAAUCUGGGAGGACCAUCUCCUAAGGCUAAAUACUCUCUAGUGACCGAUAGUGAACCAGUACCGUGAGGGAAAGGUGAAAAGCACCCCGGAAGGGGAGUGAAAUAGAACCUGAAACCGUGUGCUUACAAGUAGUCAGAGCCCGUUAAUGGGUGAUGGCGUGCCUUUUGUAGAAUGAACCGGCGAGUUACGAUUUGAUGCAAGGUUAAGCAGUAAAUGUGGAGCCGUAGCGAAAGCGAGUCUGAAUAGGGCGUUUAGUAUUUGGUCGUAGACCCGAAACCAGGUGAUCUACCCUUGGUCAGGUUGAAGUUCAGGUAACACUGAAUGGAGGACCGAACCGACUUACGUUGAAAAGUGAGCGGAUGAACUGAGGGUAGCGGAGAAAUUCCAAUCGAACCUGGAGAUAGCUGGUUCUCUCCGAAAUAGCUUUAGGGCUAGCCUCAAGUGAUGAUUAUUGGAGGUAGAGCACUGUUUGGACGAGGGGCCCCUCUCGGGUUACCGAAUUCAGACAAACUCCGAAUGCCAAUUAAUUUAA
rnacentral:rRNA from 1 species